rnacentral:lncRNA from 1 species
AUGGUUAAUGGUAUGAAAGGCUCACUGUCUGCUCCUUUGUUCAAGGUUGCAAGUGUAUCUCAGGAGACGGGAACAAUGGAAGAGAGGUCAAAUUUGAAAGCUGUCCUGUACUUACUUGGGUCUCUUUGUCUCCAGAUUCCUAUUACAGAACAUUCUCAUUUCUUUAAUAGGAAGUGGUCCAGGAAAGGAAAUCACCUGCUGAAAAUAUCCUACCCUCUUGGUACUGAUUGUGAGGUCUUACGAGAAAAUCCUCCAACUGGUUCCUGGGCACUGGACACCAGUUCUCCUGAUGUCUCAUAUGAAGAAGUUUCACACUAUUUUCUCUAUUUCCUUCUUGGCUACACCAACCAAUUAUAUCAUCUAUUUUAGCACAUCCUACAGCUGUAGAUCAGGACUGAAUUAGAGAAUGACUGAAAGAUUUACAGCUUAAUUUUAAAAAAAUCAAUGAGGAAGAAUGAGCAGAUCAGUUUAGGACUGAAAACCCAAAGAUAUUUAUCAAUUCUGCCACUGAUUCUCUGUGUGACUUUGAGAAAAUCACUUACCUCUUCCAUGUUUCAGUUCUGUCCUCAGCCCUCUUCACUUCUCCCUCUAUAUAAUUUCACUUGGCAACCUCAUCAGCUUUUAUGAAUUUAGUUAUCAUUUGUAUGUUGAUGAUUCUCAAAUGUAGCUAUCCAACUCCAAACUCUUUGCUGAUCUCCAGUCUCAUAUCUUGGACUAGAUAUCUAGUAGGCAUCUUAAACCGGUUUUCCAAAAUGGAAUUCAUUAUCUUUCCUCCCUACCCCCACCCCACUUCCUUCUUACCCUCCUAAUUGUAAGAAGGCAAUACCAUUCUCCCAAUCCCUCAGGCUCACAACUUGGGAGUUAUUUUAGAUUCCUCACUAUCUCCCCCCUCCUCCCCAAUAUCAAAGCUAUUGCCAAAGCCUGCUUAUUUCAGCUUUGCAACAUCUCCUGAGUAUUGCGACUUUCUCUUCUCUGACGUCGCCACAACUCUAAUGCAGGCCCUCAUUGCUUCAUGCCUGAAUUAUUGGACUAGCCUUGCUGGUUGGUCUGCCUCCAAUCUUUCUCCACUCUGAUUAGUUGUUGUUGUUGUUGUUGUUGUUUUGUUUUGUUUGCUCUCUAAGGAGUGACUUAAAUUUUUUUUUCAUUUUUUAUCGUCAUGUAAAACACACUUCCACAUUGGUCAUUGUUGUAAGAACACAUGCAUACAUAACCUAAGCCCCAAAAUAAAACCACAAAUACACUGAUGUGAAAGAUGACU